CCAGGGCCAUGGAAUGACCCAGGGCCAGGGAGUGACCCAGGACCAUGGAAUGACCCAGGGGCAGGGAGUGACUCCAGCUCUGCUGCUGCAAAAGGAGGGUACACAGAAAGGGCACAAUGGCUUUCCUGCAGCCGGCACACGUGAAGUUCUUACCAUAUUCCUCCAGUUUUGAGGUCUGGUGUCUUCAUGAACUGUCUUUUGAAAAAACUGUAGAUGUUGAUGCAAGCUGUAGAGACUUGACUAGCCUUCAAUUUAAAGAAAGUGCCUCAUAGGAGUGAAUACAACUAAAGCCUACAAAGAUAUCUGGGAACAAGUAUCCAUUAAAUUCUGUCAAAACUUGAUACAGCUCCAUGGUGCUGAGAAGAACCGUGAUGAUGAGGAUUCUGGAGUGAAAAAGCCAUGCUGGGGGGCCAUUGAAAACUUAAUUUCAUGAUGUGAGAGAAGGAGCAGCAAUUCAGUAGGCAUAUAUUGACUGAAGAAGGUGGCAUGAACUCAGUGUUGGCAUUGAGCUACAGCACUGAUGGCCAUCCUACAAAAAGAAACAGAGAAUGAGAAAUUUGCAGCUGGAAAUUGUUGUCAUAUAGAAUGUGAAAGAUGGGAAUCAGUUCCACUGGAGUCUCAAGGACAGAUUCCACAAAAACCUGUCAGGAAGGUUCAGGACCCUUGCUGCUGUUUGCCUCAGUCCUGAACCAGUGGAUCUCUAAGGAGGCAGCUAAGAUACCUCAGCCCUCACGGUCAGUCUACAGCUCCAGGCUGAAUGUCCACAAAUUUGGAAGCAUGAGCUGACAGCCUGUUUCUUUAGUGGUGUAGGUGGCAAUCCAGUAAAAGAAGGGCAGAGAACAUCAGCUAGUUUCAGGUAAUAAAUGUCCAUCAGGCCUUCAAUCUAACACUGAUUUCUGUCAGCUUAAAAUCAGGGGUACACAUGCAAAGACUUUGUAUCACAGCCCUCUGAGAUUUGUCUCAUAGGCAGCCUUGAGGCUUUUACAGAGCUCCCUGAUCAUCUUUGCUGUCUUAGAAAUCUGUAUUUCUACUAAUUAGCCACCAAUGGAAAACAUGGCUGGACACUGCCAUUGGCAGAAUUAGGCUGGCUUUCCCCAGUGUGUCAUUGUCCUGCAUGGCUCUAGAGAUGGCAAUUUGCUGUUGCUGGCUUAUAUGGUAGCAAGACACUGAGGAACUUAUAGCUCAUUUUUUAUAUACUUAGAAAGGAAUGUCAAGAUGAUGCAGUGUUGUCUCUCACUCCCCCUUUUCUUAUUUUAUGUAGAAUUAAAGCCCACGAAUGUGAGGAAAAACAGCCAUGGCUGCAGUCAAGGCAUUGUGCAAGUCUUCCUCCCACAGCAGUGCUGGUGUAACUUAUUCUAGUUGGUUUUUUUUUUUUCCAAAUGUGGCCUCCCACACUUUGUGCUAAAGUCCCUUCCAAACCAGUUUUCAGAUGUUGCCUUCUCAGCUCUGACACAUGACAGCACCUGAGGUGUGCUCUCACAGGCACUCUCAGUUAAUGCUGCAGCAAUCCAGGUAUGUUUUCAUCUUUGUGAAUGCACUUCUGCACCUCCUCAUUCACAGACCUGGAUCUUUGCUAAAAGAUAGUUAUAACCCCAGCAGAGUGUGUAACAGCAACUCUCACCUUGGCUCAUUGAGCCAGGCUGGCAGGUUGAGCUAAUCAGCCUGGUUUAUACCUGUGGUGAAGGCAGGACAGAAAAUUUGCUCAGGACAGAACAAACAGCCUUUGUUCUUUUCUUACUAAU